rnacentral:lncRNA from 1 species
ACUGUUGUAAAGAUUUGAAGAGAAAAUGUAGUAGAUAGAAUUUGUCCUUCCUUUACUUUUCCCAUUAGAAAAAAAUGAGAGUCUCAUUCAUAAAACACUGCUUACACAGGAGUUAAGCUGUGUCAAGGAACUCAGAGAAGGAAAAACGUAAUUGAACACUGGACUGUGAUCAGGGAAAAUUGCAGAGAGGAUGAAGAUUACAGACUGGUGGAAGAGGACGGCAAGAAAGGUUUGGACGGGAACACUAGGCAACAGAGUAAGCGGUGUCCUAUGAAAAAAGGCGAAACCGGCAUGGCAGACAGGAGCUUUCAGAGUGGGUAAUGGCUGUGAGCGUUUGACCACGGUUCAGGUUGUUGAGUUUUUGGUCAUCAGCUAACCAUUAAAUGAAGUAGCUUCUUCUGAGUGUCUGUCACUGAAAGAAUAA